UUGGUGUGCGAGUCUUCGUCGAGUCUCCCGGAAUCGGCUCUUUCCUGGCGCUCAGGGCCCCUGACGCUGCAGGGGGCCACUUCGACGUAUACCCAGGGGCUCUACGGCGGCACAGUCACCAGGUCUGAGAUGAAGGUGAAGGCUCUCAUCGAGGACAAUGGCAGGACCUUCCAUUGCGAUGCCCAGAACGGCCUGGGAGUCGUUCUCUCCACAAACAUAUCACUGAAUGUGCUCCACGGGCCAGUGUGGAUGUCGGUGCCGAGCGGAACCAUCGACGUCCAUGAAAAAGAGGACCUGUUAGUGACGGCUUCGGCCUCUGCAAAUCCUCCGCCAGUGAA